GAUGAACGCUGGCGGCGUGCCUAAUACAUGCAAGUCGAGCGAACGGACGAGAAGCUUGCUUCUCUGAUGUUAGCGGCGGACGGGUGAGUAACACGUGGAUAACCUACCUAUAAGACUGGGAUAACUUCGGGAAACCGGAGCUAAUACCGGAUAAUAUUUUGAACCGCAUGGUUCAAAAGUAAAAGACGGUCUUGCUGUCACUUAUAGAUGGAUCCGCGCUGCAUUAGCUAGUUGGUAAGGUAACGGCUUACCAAGGCAACGAUGCAUAGCCGACCUGAGAGGGUGAUCGGCCACACUGGAACUGAGACACGGUCCAGACUCCUACGGGAGGCAGCAGUAGGGAAUCUUCCGCAAUGGGCGAAAGCCUGACGGAGCAACGCCGCGUGAGUGAUGAAGGUCUUCGGAUCGUAAAACUCUGUUAUUAGGGAAGAACAUAUGUGUAAGUAACUGUGCACAUCUUGACGGUACCUAAUCUGAAAGCCACGGCUAACUACGUG
rnacentral:rRNA from 1 species